UGGGAUGACGUCAAGUCAGCAUGGCCUUUAUAUCCUGGGCUACACACACGCUACAAUGGUCGGUACAAUAGGUUGCCAAGCCGCGAGGCGGAGCCAAUCCAAAAAGCCGGCCUCAGUUCAGAUUGUAGGCUGCAACUCGCCUGCAUGAAGAUGGAGUUGCUAGUAACCGCAGGUCAGCAAUACUGCGGUGAAUACGUUCCCGGGUCUU
rnacentral:rRNA from 1 species